UACGACUACAUAUCAGGCAUAUCAAUAAGCGGAGGAAAAGAAACUAACUAGAUUCCCUCAGUAACGGCGAGUGAAGCGGGAAGAGCUCAAAUUUGAAAUCUUCAAGGUUCUACCUUGACGAAUUGUAGUUUAAAGAAGUGUUUUCUGUUGAAGUUUUGGUAAAAGUUCUUUGGAAUAGGACAUCAUAGAGGGUGAGAAUCCCGUAUUUGACCAUUAUUUCCAGCUUGUGUGAUACACUUUCAAAGAGUCGGAUUGUUUGGGAAUGCAGUCCAAAAUGGGUGGUAAAUUUCAUCUAAAGCUAAAUAUUGGCGAGAGACCGAUAGCGAACAAGUACCGUGAGGGAAAGAUGAAAAGAACUUUGAAAAGAGAGUUAAACAGUACGUGAAAUUGUCAAAAGGGAAGCGUUUGACACCAGUGUUGUUUUCUCGAAAAUCAAUUAAAAAAGCUGGAUUUUGUGUUGUAUUGACAUUAAUCAGCUUGCUUCACUCUUUUCAUUGUCUUUUUUAAUGCACCUUUUCGUUUAACAAGUCAACAUCAAUUUCUUUCGUUGUAAAAGGGUCAUUGGAAGGUGGCUUUCUUUUCGGAGAAAGUGUUUAUAGCCUUUGGCCUCUGCAAUCGGAGAGAUUGAGGUCUGCAGCGUAGAUCCUUCGGGGUUAGAUACAUUUGUCGCUAAGUUAUAGCCUUUCAUAGACAACUUGUUGACUAUGAUCAGUCAUGUAGCUUACUCGCUUAUGCUAUUUUACCUACGCUUAGGAUGUUGAGCGCAUGUCUCUCUCU
rnacentral:rRNA from 1 species